CCUACGGGUGGCAGCAGUGGGGAAUCUUGGACAAUGGGGGCAACCCUGAUCCAGCCAUGCCGCGUGAGCGAUGAAGGCCUUAGGGUUGUAAAGCUCUUUCAGCGGGGAAGCGGUACCCGCAGAAGAAGCCCCGGCUAACUCCGUGCCAGCAGCCGCGGUAAUACGGAGGGGGCUAGCGUUGUUCGGAAUUACUGGGCGUAAAGCGCACGUAGGCGGAUCAGUCAGUUAGAGGUGAAAGCCCAGGGCUCAACCCUGGAACUGCCUUUAAUACUGCUGGUCUGGAGGUCGAGAGAGGUGAGUGGAAUUCCGAGUGUAGAGGUGAAAUUCGUAGAUAUUCGGAGGAACACCAGUGGCGAAGGCGGCUCACUGGCUCGUCUGACGCUGAGGUGCGAAAGCGUGGGGAGCAAACAGGAUUAGAUACCCUUGUAGUC
rnacentral:rRNA from 1 species